GCAGAACCUACAACAUUGCGAUGACGGG
rnacentral:piRNA from 1 species